rnacentral:rRNA from 1 species
UACAGAGGUGGCAAGCGUUGUUCGGAAUUACUGGGCGUAAAGGGCGCGUAGGCGGUUCCAUAAGUCCCGCGUGAAAUCCCCCGGCUCAACUGGGGAACGGCGCGGGAGACUGCGGGGCUUGAGUUCGGGAGAGGGAAGCGGAAUUCCGGGUGUAGCGGUGAAAUGCGUAGAUAUCCGGAGGAACACCGGUGGCGAAGGCGGCUUCCUGGACCGACACUGACGCUGAGGCGCGAAAGCUAGGGGAGCAAACGGG